GGAUUAGAUACCCUGGUAGUCCACGCUGUAAACGAUGUCAACUAGCCGUUGGGACUCUUGAAGUCUUAGUGGCGCAGCUAACGCACUAAGUUGACCGCCUGGGGAGUACGGCCGCAAGGUUAAAACUCAAAUGAAUUGACGGGGGCCCGCACAAGCGGUGGAGCAUGUGGUUUAAUUCGACGCAACGCGAAGAACCUUACCUGGCCUUGACAUGCAGAGAACUUUCCAGAGAUGGAUUGGUGCCUUCGGGAACUCUGACACAGGUGCUGCAUGGCCGUCGUCAGCUCGUGCCG
rnacentral:rRNA from 1 species